CUUUAAAUGCAUGCUCAAACGGAUUGACAUAAGUUAGAAAUGACUCACAGAGGCUGGCAUGCCAGAGGUUGAUGGGGGAGGGGAUCUGCAAAAAGGAAAUUUGUGCUUCCGUGGUGGAAGGAAAGCCAUGAAAGAGGAAGGGAUCAUUUUGCUUGAAAACAUAGAGGACUUACUAAACUACAUCCAAAAGAAGGGGACUGAGACAAAGGAGUCAGACUAAACACACCACAAGAUUUUAAAUAUCUGUACUGGCUGUCCAUGUCCAGGCACUGGUGGGGUGGGGGGGCUGCAGGGCUCCUCUGUGAGGAGGGGCUGGGGCUGCCCCGUGCCAGACUCCAGCCAACUCCAGUGACCCUGCCAUUGGGCACAGCUGGGCCCAGCAGCCAAGAUGGCAGCACCUAGGAGAAAGCGUGUUUAAGAAAGGGCAAAU
rnacentral:lncRNA from 1 species